UAGGGAAUCUUCGGCAAUGGACGAAAGUCUGACCGAGCAACGCCGCGUGAGUGAAGAAGGUUUUCGGAUCGUAAAGCUCUGUUGUAAGAGAAGAACGGGUGUGAGAGUGGAAAGUUCACACUGUGACGGUAUCUUACCAGAAAGGGACGGCUAACCACGUGCCAGCAGCCGCGGUAAUACGUAGGUCCCGAGCGUUGUCCGGAUUUAUUGGGCGUAAAGCGAGCGCAGGCGGUUAGAUAAGUCUGAAGUUAAAGGCUGUGGCUUAACCAUAGUACGCUUUGGAAACUGUUUAACUUGAGUGCAGAAGGGGAGAGUGGAAUUCCAUGUGUAGCGGUGAAAUGCGUAGAUAUAUGGAGGAACACCGGUGGCGAAAGCGGCUCUCUGGUCUGUAACUGACGCUGAGGCUCGAAAGCGUGGGGAGCGAACAGGAUUAGAUACCCUGGUAGUCCACGCCGUAACGAUGAGUGCUAGGUGUUAGGCCCUUUCCGGGGCUUAGUGCCGCAGCUAACGCAUUAAGCACUCCGCCUGGGGAGUACGACCGCAAGGUU
rnacentral:rRNA from 1 species